UUUGGCUUCAGUGUUUCCUAAUUUCGCUGUAACUGCUGCCAGCUGGGGGUUAAUGUAGAACACGUUCCCAGCACAUCCUGGGCCUGUUCAUGUUCAGGAGCCGCCUGGAACCUGCACACAUGACACUUUAGGAAGAGUGUCACCUCCUUUCUUAAGGCUCCGGGAAGAAACCCAGGGCCAUGGGAUGCCAAAGAGCAGAUCUGGAACUGGAGCCACAGAACCCAAGAAAAGCUGCUACACAGAGAAUGGUGACAGAGCUGACUAUCUCAGCCAAGGUCAAGGGGGCCUGAAACUCCAGCUCGGCUCACACGCGAUGACCUCCAUCGGGUGAUCAGUGAGUCCUCUGGACAUUCAUCCCACGUUUUACUUUAUUGUUGUUUUUUUAACAGAGAGGCUAACUAACUAUGGAGCCCCCAACAUGCCACAUGGCGAACUCUAAGCACAGCACCACCCAGCAUACAGAGACCGAGGCUUUGGUGGUCUAGUGCAGGGUGCUGGCUGCGGGUGCAGCCAGCCCUGCUGUUGGAGGGGAGGCAGCCCCGGUUCCUUCCUGUCUUUGCAGUUAUCCUCCCAUUGCUAUCACAGACCAGGAAGCCUCGUGGACUUCAGGCAGCACCAACUUCGCUGGGACUCAGGUCUCUGCCCCACCACCAAGAGCCCCAGAGGCGCCCAUAGAUCGGCACCAGUGCAGGAGCUGGGGCUGGAAAAUUAAUACAGGUUGAGGUGCGACCGUGGCCAUGCGGUGCCAGCAGCAUCCCCCUCCCCUCCUGCCAAUGUCCCCUCUGUCAGAAUCAUGGGGUCUCGUUCCUCUCCAUCUCUUCACGUCACCUCUCUCCAGGUUUGUGUCCUCGCUGCCUGCUGUCCUGCGCUCCUCAGCCCCUCCCCAAGCCCCUGGGCCUGGACUGUGCUUUCUCUGUGCCCUGGUCUCUGGGUCUGGCCUCCCUCUGCUCUGUCAGUCCCACUGCUCAGUUGCCCCACUCCCUGCUUGCUCCCACUCGCAUGCGUGCGCGCGCGCGCACGCACACACACACACACACACACACACACUCCCUCCCUGGGGCUCCUUCCUGCUGGACAAGGCAGGGCCUUUCAUUCACACGCCUGCUCUCUGCACAAUGUUUGCUUUGUCCUGGGGUUCUGAGCCAAACAGAGACAGGGGAAGGAGUGUUCCUCUUGGCCCUAGCUCGGGCCCCCGCCAAGAGCCGCAUUGUUCCCUUGUGUCUGGGAGUGCGGCCCCUCCAUAGUGGCCAGACAGCCAGCUCUAGCUCCUAGCUGUGCUUCCUUCCCAGGACCCAGGGACCUGGCACUGAGGAGGCAGACUCAAUGGUCCUGCUUCUCACAGUUGAAGGAAUACCUUGGUGCAUGCAGUGUCUCUGAGCAGAGAGACGGCCAGACAGUUCCACCAAGGAACGUGCCUAAUCCUAAAGCAGGUGUUGUGCUGUCUAUACAUCUCCUGGUGUGCCAGGCUCUGGCAGGAGAAGGAGAGCCCCAGCCCUACCCGAAUGGACUGUGAUUCAUGGCAUUUGUAACAUUCACAGAACGAUGUAGGAUCUUUGCUGCAUUGGUCCCAGGGGCUGUGCACAAGGACUCUGGAAAAUCAUGUGAUUGCCAGGGAAGUGCGGGCUAGAAAGUGCCCAGAGUGCAAGAUGAUUCUCUCCUAGGUCUGCUCAGACAACACCUAGGCCAGUGGGGCCACCCAUGCCACACUCGAAUAGGGACAUUGGCAAACUGAGUUGCACACAGAGGCCAUGCGGAGAACAAUAUUCUCCUGCGUGCACCUAAGGAGAAGCCUGGUAACAAAUCACCUUCAGCACAGAAGAACCACCAAGCAGGAGUGGGUACAAGCUUGCCCUGGGUAAGUCAGAGAUACAGCUCAUCACCUCAGUCAGCAGAUGUUUACUGAGAAGUUUCUCCAAGGCUUACGCUGGGAUACAGGGACCGACAGACACAGGCUUUGUCCUCAGGCAGCUUAAAGCCUCCAGAGAAAGUCUCCAUUGAACAAAUGCCAGCUCUAAGGAGCAGGCAUGGGGAGCAAUGGCUUCCAGUUGCAGAAAUGAAGAUCAGAGGAAACGAGGCUUUGGUCAACCUGAGGAGGGCUGCUCUGGCAGCCUGGGGUGUCCGGAGAUUCAGUGGGCUGCCCUGUGGGGUGAUGAGCACCCCACCAGUGGAGGUAUGUGUGCAGUAGCUGCACUAUCCCCUGAUGAGCACUUCCAAAUAGGUACGAGCCCCAGGCUAUGAGGUUGGGUUUCAUGCACAUUAUAAUUCCAGUCAUUCCUGAAAAUCCAGAAGUGGAAUUGUUGAUGGUGAUUGUGUAGGUUCUACCUACAGGUCUGCUUCCCACGAGGCUUCUUCUUGGGCAGCACAGAUGGUGACACAAGGCUGUGUCCAGCGUCACAUGGACCCAGGCUGCACACCAGCCACUGCUAGUCCUUGACCCUGGAUAGAUGACACCGUUUGGAUCGAUGAUAUAGUUUCCUGUAUCAUGGUUAUAUCAAGUUGUAGCUCUUUGUGAUGAUUAAAACAAGAUAUGGAGAUAUGAAAAUAUUUCCUCCACGGCACCUGACAGAACACAUUUGAUAAUGGGUUGCUAUGGCAUCCCAAAAAGCAUAGGGUUAAAAAUUAAAUUUGAUGUUACUAUAGACUGUAAAAUAAUGCGGUGGGUAAAAAAAUCCCCAUUCACUGUGAAAAACUACAUUUAAACAUUGAGAAAUAAAAAUAAUA